GAGAACUACGUGCCGGUGGCCGGGGUAAUACGGGGGGGGCAAGCGUUGUUGUGAAUUACUGGGCGUAAAGGGCUCGGAGGUGGCCAACUAAGUCAGACGUGAAAGCCCUCGGCUUAACCGGGGAACUGCGUCUGAUACUGGAUGGCUUGAGGUUGGGAGAGGGAUGCGGAAUUCCAGGUGUAGCGGUGAAAUGCGUAGAUAUCUGGAGGAACACCGGUGGCGAAGGCGGCAUCCUGGACCAAUUCUGACGCUGAGGAGCGAAAGCCAGGGGAGCAAACGGGAUUAGAUACCCGAGUAGUC
rnacentral:rRNA from 1 species